rnacentral:rRNA from 1 species
UUGGAGGGCAAGUCUGGUGCCAGCAGCCGCGGUAAUUCCAGCUCCAAUAGCGUAUAUUAAAGUUGUUGCAGUUAAAAAGCUCGUAGUUGAAUUUCGGAAUCUGUCCGUCGGUCGGGCUUCACUGUCCGUACUGGUGUGAUGGGUUUCUACCUUCUGAAUAACCGGCAUGUCAUUAAUUUGGUGCGCCGGGGAAGCAGAACUAUUACCUUGAAAAAAUUAGAGUGCUUAAAGCAGGCUAUCGCCUGAAUAGAUUAGCAUGGAAUAAUAAAAUAGGACGGCAUGGUUCUAUUUUGUUGGUUUCUAGGAUCACCGUAAUGAUUAAUAGGGAUAGUUGGGGGCAUUAGUAUUCAACUGUCAGAGGUGAAAUUCUUGGAUUUAUUGAAGACUAACUUCUGCGAAAGCAUUUGCCAAGGAUGUUUUCAUUAAUCAAGAACGAAAGUUAGGGGAUCGAAGACGAUCAGAUACCGUCGUAGUCUUAACCAUAAACUAUGCCGACUAGGGAUCGGACGAUGUUAAUUUUUUAAUGACUCGUUCGGCGCCUUACGGGAAAC